rnacentral:rRNA from 1 species
GACGAACGCUGGCGGCGUGCUUAACACAUGCAAGUCGUACGGUAAGGCCCUUUCGGGGGUACACGAGUGGCGAACGGGUGAGUAACACGUGAGUAACCUGCCCACAACUUUGGGAUAACGCUAGGAAACUGGUGCUAAUACUGGAUAUGUGCUCCUGCUGCAUGGUGGGGGUUGGAAAGCUCCGGCGGUUGUGGAUGGACUCGCGGCCUAUCAGCUUGUUGGUGGGGUAGUGGCCUACCAAGGCGGCGACGGGUAGCCGGCCUGAGAGGGUGACCGGCCACAUUGGGACUGAGAUACGGCCCAGACUCCUACGGGAGGCAGCAGUGGGGAAUAUUGCACAAUGGGCGCAAGCCUGAUGCAGCAACGCCGCGUGCGGGAUAACGGCCUUCGGGUUGUAAACCGCUUUCAGCAGGGACGAAGCUUUUUGUGACGGUACCUGCAGAAGAAGCGCCGGCUAACUACGUG